AUUGAACGCUGGCGGCAUGCUUUACACAUGCAAGUCGAACGGUAACAGGUUAAGCUGACGAGUGGCGAACGGGUGAGUAAUGCAUCGGAACGUGCCCGAUCGUGGGGGAUAACGCAGCGAAAGCUGCGCUAAUACCGCAUACGAUCUGAGGAUGAAAGCGGGGGACCGUAAGGCCUCGCGCGAUCGGAGCGGCCGAUGUCAGGUUAGGUAGUUGGUGGGGUAAAGGCCCACCAAGCCGACGAUCUGUAGCUGGUCUGAGAGGACGACCAGCCACACUGGGACUGAGACACGGCCCAGACUCCUACGGGAGGCAGCAGUGGGGAAUUUUGGACAAUGGGCGAAAGCCUGAUUCAGCAAUGCCGCGUGCAGGAAGAAGGCCUUCGGGUUGUAAACUGCUUUUGUACGGAGCGAAAAGGUCCUUUCUAAUACAAGGGGCUCAUGACGGUACCGUAAGAAUAAGCACCGGCUAACUACGUGCCAGCCGCCGCGGUAAGAC
rnacentral:rRNA from 1 species